GAAUUACGGUAUCCAAGAGUAUUAGGGAAAUUCAAUUUCCUUGAUAAAAUGAAGUCAAAGUUAUACAGAGAUGCUUAUAAUAUUAGAGCAAACAGUAGGAGGCAUGUAUCUUUUACAAAGCUUUUACUAAAAAAGUAAAUAUCUAAAUUGUUUGUUUCCUAGAAUUAUUUCUCUUGAACAGAUAAAAUUCGAGACAUACCAUGAACUAUUAAUUCUAACCAGAUGUAUUUUUUAAUAUAUAUAAGUGCAUUAUGGACGAGAGCAUAAAUUACUGAUAAAUCUUCGUUCCACGUUUAUCCAGCGAAGUAGUAGAUGCAUUCUUUAUGAAUGUGUGAGCGUCGCGAACUAUAAAACGUCAUUUGUGUCAUCUUUUGUUCUAGAAUAUCCUACAGUUUCGUAGGUUUCCAGGUUAAGGUGUCGUCCCUUUUCACAAGCAGCAGAUUGCUUUGCAUGUUUUAUAAAUCGCUGAUCUUUGGUAUUAAAAGAGCUCGCUCUGGGAAGACGAGUUACGAAUUUUGCGAGGUGCACGAAUUUUUUUCUCUUUGCGUCUCGUGUUUCAAAUUAACACAUUUCCGCUUCCCGACACAUUAACUGAUAAUGUUUUCCGUUUUUCGUUGAUUCGUACGUGUAUGUACGAGUAUGUAUUCUCUUCCUGCUAGUACUGGCUAUAGAUGCGAUCAUAAGGAAACAGUAUGGAAUGGAGAACUAUUUCUCUCCGGUAACGGAAAGACAACAUUUACUUUCCUCUGGAUAUAUACAAGAGUAAAAAAGUCAGAAUUAUAAUCAAAAUUCAAAGAAAAAUUGUUGAUGUUUAAAAAGUAUCGGCAUUUUUAAAUAAGAAAAUAGUUUUAUUUUAAUUUUUAAUAGAUGUUUUUUUUAAAUAUAGAAAAUAAUUAAAAAACUUGGAACGGAAAAAUUUUAACCUAAGUAGUAAUAAAAUCCCAUUAUUCGAAUAAAUAUUUUGUAGAUUUUGUCUCAAUGAAACCAAACAUCGGAUGGAAUUAAGAAUGAAAGUUUGAUAUAUAAUAAAUGUCAAACAUUUUUCUAUUACCUUAAAUGUAUUCUAAUUACGUAAAAAUAAAGCGUACAACUAUUGAAAUG